rnacentral:rRNA from 1 species
GACGAACGCUGGCGGCGUGCUUAACACAUGCAAGUCGAACGGAAUGGCCCUGCUUUUGUGGGGUGCUCGAGUGGCGAACGGGUGAGUAACACGUGAGUAACCUGCCCUUGACUUUGGGGUAACUUCAGGAAACUGGGGCUAAUACCGGAUAGGAGCUCCUGCUGCAUGGUGGGGGUUGGAAAGUUUCGGCGGUUGGGGAUGGACUCGCGGCUUAUCAGCUUGUUGGUGGGGUAGUGGCUUACCAAGGCUUUGACGGGUAGCCGGCCUGAGAGGGUGACCGGCCACAUUGGGACUGAGAUACGGCCCAGACUCCUACGGGAGGCAGCAGUGGGGAAUAUUGCACAAUGGGCGGAAGCCUGAUGCAGCAACGCCGCGUGCGGGAUGACGGCCUUCGGGUUGUAAACCGCUUUCGCCUGUGACGAAGCGUGAGUGACGGUAAUGGGUAAGGAAGCACCGGCUAACUACGUG